CCUACGGGGUGCAGCAGUGAGGAAUAUUGGUCAAUGGACGCAAGUCUGAACCAGCCAUGCCGCGUGCAGGAAGACGGCUCUAUGAGUUGUAAACUGCUUUUGUACGAGGGUAAACGCAGAUACGCGUAUCUGUCUGAAAGUAUCGUACGAAUAAGGAUCGGCUAACUCCGUGCCAGCAGCCGCGGUAAUACGGAGGAUUCAAGCGUUAUCCGGAUUUAUUGGGUUUAAAGGGUGCGUAGGCGGUCGGAUAAGUUAGAGGUGAAAUCCCGAGGCUCAACUUCGGAAUUGCCUCUGAUACUGUUCGGCGAGAGAGUAGUUGAGGUAGGCGGAAUGUAUGGUGUAGCGGUGAAAUGCUUAGAGAUCAUACAGAACACCGAUUGCGAAGGCAGCUUACCAAGCUACUUCUGACGUUGAGGCACGAAAGCGUGGAGAGCAAACAGGAUUAGAUACCCCUGUAGUC
rnacentral:rRNA from 1 species